CGGCGGCGCGGAGCGGGUGCGGAGCCGAGCGCGGAGCUGAGCGCAGAGCAAAGCGCGGAGAAAACGCAGAGGCCCCCGCAUCUCCUCCGCCACCCGGACGCCGCAGACGUCGGGGGAGGCGCGGGGGCAGCUCCGUUUAUCAUCCGAGGGGACCACUCGGUUCUUUGUCCUUCAUUUGUUCGCCUGGUUAUUAGGAUAAUCUAUUUCUCCAUCUUUCCUAAUUAAACUCCCCGAUCGCACGCUCUGCUCCGAGCGCGUUUCAGCGCGGAGGAGGUGCGCAGAGUGCACCUGAACGGUGUUGACCGACCUUCGGGACUCUGUUGUGAUGGGAAAUAAUAGAAAUAAAUGCGGCAAAAUGCAAGCGGGGCUCUGUCCUGGCGAUGCGUGAAGCAUUCAGAGUGCGGCAGAAAGCGGUUUGUGAUGAGCAGAACGCACUGCUGUGACUGUUACCUGAUCGCAGUUCCCGGGGUGGAACUUGGAGACCAAAAUGCCCUUAUCUGCAAACAAACUAACACGGCGUCCAACUUUGCCGUGUGUUGGGAUCCUCCUUUCUAAGAGAGCAAAACAAAGGCAGAGCGGGCAAGAUGUCCGCUGCGGUGCCCGUCCCGCCAAGGGUCACCUUUUAUGUUUUUGAAACUUGCAGGGAUCCCGUGGGGAAAAAAAUAAAAAUAAUUUAAAAAAUAAUUUUUAAAAAGCUUCUGCUCCUCGUUUGCAUCAUUUCUGUGGAAAUAAAGCAAACAGUGUGCACACAGCGGGAAGGGGGACGGGGGGCAGCGCACUGCUGCGGUCACCGUGAAUCCUCCGUCCGAGCCUUCGUCCCCGUGCUCGGGAGAGAAUGAGUAACACUAGUGAGAGCCAAUGCACUCAAAUACCUUUAUUCUCAGUCCUUCUAAAAUUUUACUUGAUAACUUCAAAUUUCUCAGUCAGACACAGACAUUCUCUAACAGAAAACCAAGCUGUUUUCUGCUUAGCAAUAUUGCUUUUGUUGUUCGGGGCUUUUAAUAACUUAUUGAUUCGCGUUGUGUCUACACCGGAGUGCUUCAUCUUUACUGCGCGUCUCCUCAGCUCAGUUCUCCUUCCUUCUUUCUUCUUUCUCUUUCCUUCCCUCUUUCCUAUUUUUCUUCUUUUCUUCCUUUCUCCCCUUUUCUCCCUUUCCAUUUUCCUUUCUUCCUUUCCUGUCUUCAUAUUUAUUUUCUCUCUCUUCACGUUCUUUUUCUCUCCUCCUUCCUCCCUUUCUUUUUUCCCCUUCUUUCUACUCUCCCCGUUUUCUCCCCUCUCCUUUCCCUCCUUUCUCUCCUUCUCUCAGCAUCUGAAGGAUCUCACCCCACACAGCGUGCCGGGGGCACCCCGUUUCCUCGCACCCUUCGCGGCCGCCCCGUAGACGGGCACUCCACAUUAGAUCCCAGCGACAGGCAGGGCAGCGCGCUGCGUGCCGUGCCUCUGCCUCCUGAUGCAGAAAUGAUGAAAUUAGUGCUCGGAUAAUGCCAGCAUUGAGCAGUUUCGGCGGGUUACUCUGCUUAACCCCGGCGCAAGGCAGCGGGGGCGGCUCGGUGGGGCCCCAAGGAUUGGGGCAGGUCCCGCCCCGGCUGAGAGCCUCCCGGUCAGGUGCCCCCCCAGAUGGGUGCCCCGUGUCUGGGUGUCCCCACCGGGUGCCCCCCGGCCCGCGGGGAUGUGGCGGGGACAGGGAGCGGGCUCCGCCGAGGUUUCCUUCACCGCGGACCAUUCUCCGAGAUAGGAACCCAGCUGUUUAAUUUAACAUUGAUUUAUUGCUCUUAAAAGUAAAUUUACACACAUGCCAACAGCACUGCGUUUUGUUUCCCCAGACCCAAAGAUUUAUUUUCUACUUAGCGCUUGUCUGACAAAACAAUGUCCUUUAACUUUAUUACACAUCGAUGAGGAGAUCUGUCUUAUUUUUGGUAGGAUUUAUCGCUCCGUCGCUUGUGCGGACUUGUGAUGCAGCACAGCCAGGGUCGGGAGAUGGGCACGGGGCACGGCGGUGGGGCGGGGACCGCCGCACCCUGCAGCGCUCAGGUACGGGUGGGUUCGCCUUCAUUUUUUUUUAAUGGCGUUGACUCUCUUCCUUCAUUUGCAGCAGCAAAGGGUUUCUGCUGUCUCCCGGCUCUUUGCAAAGAGUCUGUGACACGUAUCUAUAAUUAUCGAAGGGAAAAACAGCGUUACCCACGCCUCUGCGCAGUGCGCUCCCCAUCACCAAACCUGCACGGUGGCUGCGCUCGGGGAUCACACCGCACUUUGAAGCAGCCUUUACGGUGCGCUUCGUCUGCGUUUUGGUUUCCUUUAGUUCUCAUUAAAAGGCCACUUUCUUCCUUUCACCGAUACACCAUUUUUGUGUCCUUCAAUCCACUCUCUCGGGGGGGUGGGGGAAGAAGAGUUCUCCUAUCUAAUCGGGGGAGGGAAUAAUACUAAUAAUAAUAUCAAUAAUAAUAAUAAUAAUAAUAAUAGGAAAUAUGGGCUGGGUUUCCUUAUGUUUCCCCCUUCCUCACCCCAAGUGCAAGCCGCUUAUUUCAAAGCACGUAUCGCUGCCACCAACGAAAGCUUCUUCGGAAGGAGAACGGGCGGAGGGGCACUCCCGCGGUACUGGGAAGGUGCAAUGAGGGACAGACGCGGUGCGAGCAGAGCUCCCACUCCUCUCUCUCCCUUUCUUUUUUCUUCUCCCCUUCCCACCUUUUUGUCUGUGUGCUCCCGGCUCGGUUCCACAAACUGAUUUAUCAGAGAGGGAUCCAGUAAUCACUUCGGAGGUGUUCAGAUGAGGGCACGGCUCUGUUCCGGCAAUAAGUGAAGAUGUGACACGUUUUGUUAUCGGUGUAUAGCGGGGCUUUGUGGGAUACUCCCUUUUUUUCCCCUGCAAAUACACCAUCCUUAAAUAAAGACCCUAUCCUAAAGUGGGACCGUCCUCGCAGGUUCUGUCCACUGUGUUCACAUACAUCCAAACUUCACGUCACUUCACGUAUUUUAAUGAUUUUACCAAGCAAGACAGAACUGUGGGUUUGUGCCUUUUUCCUUCCUAGAAUUGCACAUGGCAAUUCCCUGCCAACCCUUUGCCCAGGCAGAGAGCACGAACCGCCCCUUCAAGGCACAGAAUGAGGGGGCUGGAGGUCCGCGUGUCCGUGUGAGCAGCAAUGCUAUGGCCUUUGGGGAAGGAAAAGGAAAAAAUAUAUAUAUGGGAAAAAGAAAAGAAAAAAAAAAAGGGGGGGGGAGGGGGGGGGAGGGAAGAAAAAAAGGAAAAGGAAAAAAAAAAAAAAAGAAAUGCAAAAAGAAAAUGAAAAGAAAGAAGCUCCCUGUAACUCAGAGAGGAUCUGACUGCUUGGGUCCCCUUACCCCCCCACACCCACGCGGAGUGCGCCCACGGACACAGGGAAUCCCGCUCGGGACACCCCCCCUCUUCAAAGCCCCCGCAGUGCAGGCCCGGGGUUGGGGGGUCUCCCCAGGCCCCCCGCGGGACUGCCACAUUGACCCUCCCUGCCCCGGCCCACGGCGGCGGUGCAGUUGGGACACCCCCCUAUUCUCAAAGCGCCGCGGGGGUUCGCUUCCCCCGUACCGUGACAGUUCUCACUGGAAAAGACGAAGGGGGGAGGAAGGCCCAUUUGUGGGGGGAGGGGGAAGAAAGUGGGGGUCCCAGCUGCCUGCCGGGCGGCCGUUCUGCCGGGUCCGACCUGCCAUUGCGGGAAUGGCGAAGGGCAGCGGUGGGCGCAGCACCGCGAAGGGACGCGCGUGGGAGCGCCGCGGGAUGCAGCGUAGGCGGGCUCCGAGUCCGGGACCGUGCCAUUCCCCCUUGAUGUGCAAUUAAAUUACAGCAAAUUCCUCUUUAAAUAACAUCGUUGGGAAUCCUUCUUUAAGAUGCAGGGAUGUCUGAGGUUAAGAAGCUUUCAAAACGUCAGUUCUAAAUGGCUUAUGCAAUGAAUAGCUACCUCCGGAGCCUAAAACCAUUAUCAAUAUGAUAUGCAUAUGGAUGCCAGUUUAUCUCCACAUAUUUCUCUUUAAACUGAGGGAAGCUUUCGUAAGGAGCCACGUGGAGCACUUUACUUUCGGGAAACAGAUGUUAAUUUUUCCACGCACCGCUCUGUGGCCACGCACACGUGUAACGCCGGAGAGCGCCCGGAGCGCCUCUCCUCUGCGCUCCGUGCCGUGGCUGGGGCGUAUCAUCCUCGGCACAGCCGAGGUACGGUCGCAGUAGCAAACCCAAACUCUGUGACUUCGGCUGCGUUUAUUUUAUACAUAUGUAUUUUAAGAGUUCCCACAAAAGUGGGGAAAGCGCUCACGCGCGGCGCGCGCACCUGCGCGGGGCACCUGGGCCGUGCGCUGCGCGGAGGCGCAGAGCUCCGCGGGGGGACGCGGUCCCCGUAACGCGCGCAGCGCUGCCGGGAGUGCCCCCGGAGCGCCUCCCUCACGGCUGGGACUCUUAGGGGCUCUGCGCAGGAUGUCCCUCUCCGCAGCGAAAUCUCUCUCUCCGUGUGACGGGCGGUUGGGGUGCGUGCGAGCGCGGUGAGCGGGCAUCGUAAUUAAACGUAUGCAGUAUUCAUCGCCGGGUGAUGUUUGCCAUCAGCGCGCUCAUCUUUUCCCGAAGUUGGGCUCUGCUCUUCCAUCUCUCCUCCGCUCGCCACGAGCUGACGUCUUCUCCCCACGCACCCGGAGCUGCGCAGGGGCACGUCCUUGGCAAACCCACUGCUUGCGAUGGCCCUGCGCGGCGUGCGCAGGAAUAAAACUUCCCUUCUCCCCUCCUUUUUUUCCUUAUUUUCCCUUUCUUAAGUAUUUUUUUCCUUCCUCCAGGCUGCACUCCCUUCUCACCAUACCAUGGGAGCUGUAUUUCCUCACCGGGAGCCAUGCAGCGGGUGCAGACCUUCAGGAGAGACCUGAUUCCCCAGGAUAACCCGAGGGAGGAAAAAAAAAAAGACCAGAGUAGAACGAAAGCGGGGACCCGCCUGUCUGUCCAUGGAGUCACGCGUGGGCCCGGUCCCGCAGCACACACAGCGGCUGAGUAAUGCAACUGGGAAGAUGUCGUGCCCUGUGGUUGUGGGUUUGAUCCACGGCUUUAAGCAGGGCGGAGGGCUCUGAGGAGGAGACGUGUGUGCACUGCUGUACGGCCAUCGCUGACAGUGGUCUCUUGUUGGCCAGAGUGCCCUGAUGGAAACACUGCUCACAUUAUCUCGACUUUUCAAAACUGGGGGUAAAGGGAGGGAGGGGAGAUACAGUUUCCCACUGCCCCUUUUGUUAAUUGUUUUCUUUCCUCGCAAUUACAUCUGAAACCCGGCCGGGCCCGUUGCUCGUAGCGUCUUUGUAUUUCUGGUGGGAACCACGUGGGGUGGCAGAAAAGACCCCGAAGUCCCUCCUCGCCCCCGCUCCCACCCGGGCUCCGAGUCCGCCGCCUCCGCCCCGCGGCCCCCGCGGAGUCAGGACCACCGAGGCCGGGAUGAGGCCGGGCCGGGUCCCCGCAGCGGUUUCGGCCCUUCCCACUGCACGCUCCGUGCAUCCAUCUCCCGGCGGCUGCACCUUGCGCCGGGCAUCCCCGUGGUGAAGUCCGAUCAAAAGGGAAAAGGGGAAAAAGCCGUUCUGCUGCAACCAGGCCUGCGGGGUGAGGGAGAAAUGGAGAAGGACAGGGAAGCAGCUCGGUCGAAGCUCUCCGAGUUUCACGGCGUGAAGCCUUUCCCCGGCUCUGUGCGCCGGUGGGAGGGGAGGGGGGUGUAGGUGCCGAAAAAUUUAAGGGACCGUUUAAGACCGGAGCCUGCAGUGAAUGGGGACGGGGCGAGGGGGUGGGGGGAAAGUUGGAAAAUGGAUUCGCUGACAAGGAGGGAUAAUAAAUGAGAGGCGCUUUCAGAUAGAUAUCUCAGACGUGAAAUUGCACCCAGCUGGUUGUGUAAGCAAACAAAUAGUUUCAUGUUAGGGACUCUCGACUUGUGGCUUGAUGAAUAGAACACGACAGAGGUAAAUGGCUCUUUAACUCAUUUAGGAAUAAAACUCUUUGGCUUCGCGAGCAAAGGACCUGGUGACGCCAUGGAUCCUGAGCAAGCACUUUAACAAGAGUUUUAUUAGUUUCCAAUUGCACUCUCACAUCUCCCCACUCGCUCACCUCCUCCCUCCCUCUUCCCCCCCCAACCCUCCCCCCUUUAUCUUCCCCCAUUUUCCUCUCUCUUUUCUCUUCACUCUCCUGGAGAACGCCUCUCCAGGAGGGAUCCCCACGUCACGGCGCGGGGGGACCCGCAGGUUCGCUCGUGGACGUGCUCUGUGCCCUGUGACAUUUUCCUGUUUGUGGUUCCCUCUGCGUUCCCGUAUCGCCGCAGAACGACCGUCCUCGGCCGCCCCGACACGGUGGGGUAAACCUUAGGGGUGAGGAGAAGUUGUUUAUAAAAAAAAAAAAAAAAAAAAGAUCGUGUCAAUGCCAGUGACAGCGGGGCCAGUUGUAGAAGGAGGCUUUAAAAAUGUAUUUGCACGUUUAGUGGGGGUCACGGCUUUCUAAGGUGGAAAGAAACUGAAAGGGAAGUGGGGAAAGGCGGUGGGCACUGGCCACCGUCUGCCUCAAUAAGCAUGGAGGGGACGGGAUGGGAGUCUGGGAACAGAAGAGGAAGAAACAAACAAGCAAACAAACAAGCAAAAAACCCACCCGAAAACAAAAAUCGCACACACAAUAAAGGCAAAUCAAACCCUCACCCUCCCAAAAUCUGAAUAGCCAAAGCGCUUCACGAAACCGGAGGGGGCAUUCCGGCAGUGCCCGUGACAGCUGCGCACACACACGGGGGGGACACAGCCUGGGGAGGUCCGCGGUCAAGACUGCAGGGACGGUCUGUCCGCCGGCCGUGGGUCCAUCCCGGCAGCAGCGCGGGGCCGCCUCCCCCCUGCGGCCACACGGAUCCGCUUCGCCCGGCUGCUGCUGCACAGAGGGGACGGCUGAGUGCUAUACGCCGCAG
ensembl:lncRNA